rnacentral:lncRNA from 1 species
CUGACAGAAAUAGACAAGAUUAUCUUUUUACAUGACUUAUGAAAACUCAUGGUCAAAUAUUUAAUAGGGUCCAUGUGAUACAACAUUGAUUUAUAAUUUGUUAUUUUUUUACCCUGAGGUUGGCCAAAUCUCAAACAGCAUGGUUGAUCAGUGGUUAGUAAAAAUGCAUAUUGAGUUACUUCCAGCAUUUACUGACACAUUCUGCUUCUUUCCAAAGUCAGCUUCUCUAAGGUUGUGUUUAUCUCAGUGAUUGAAUUUGGCGUCCUUAGCUUUGAUCUUUGUUACACACUCUGGGAUAUAACCUUCAUUUAUUAAUUUAGUCUUAUAAACAAACAAAAGCUACAGUAUGAUUAAAAGUCUGAUCUUUUGGGUAACUACUGCCAAAUCUCUGGCCUGACACCCCACGGUAAAUGACCCAGAUAGACAUGGAGUGGGCCUCCUCAGUGAGUGAUCUAAAUUAUGUUGUAUUUUAACACUUAUUUAACACAUGCACAGAUAGGUAUACAAAACAAGAAAAUGUAAGUUUAUGAAUUAUCAGAAAGUGAACGUGUCUUGACUCAGAUGAUGACAUACAAUAUUGCUAGCAGCCUCAAAGUUCUCAUUCUGUCCUCUCCAAUUACUUCUGCAUCUACUCCACCAAAUAUAACCAAUAUCUUGUCUUUCAUGAGAAUCACUUUUUUGAUAUUCUUAUUGUUUCAUUCUAAAGUUAUAUAUUCUUAAACAUGAGCAUUAAAUUUCCAUUUUCAGACUUCAUUUUAAAAGAAAUCUACAACACGUUAGACUGUUUUGCUUUUUACACUAAAUACUUGAUAUGGCAUUUAUUCGUGUUGCAUAGAGUUUAUUGACUCCUCAUUAUCCAUUCUGUAAAUAUUUCACAAUUUAAGCGCUCAUUCUAGUUUGUUAGACAAUUAAGUCACUUGCUAGUAUUGACUAUUAUAAAAUUUUCUGUUCUGUGUAAUCAUAUUUAUAUACUGUUGUGUGUGUAAGCACACAAUUCUUUUGGAUAUAUUUCUAGGUGUGCACUUGCUGGAUCAUACAGUAAGAGUAUGUUUAGCUUUAGUAGACAAUGCCAACAAUGCUUUCCAAAAGAUUAUAUCAACUUAUACUCCCACCAGCAAUGUAUGAGAUUUUCCAUUACUCUGCAUCUUCUUCAAUUCUUAAAAGGUAGUUACUUUUUAAUUUUAAUUAUUGUGGUGGAUGUAUAAGAACAUCUCAUUUGUAUUUUAAUUGGCAUUUCUCUGAUAGUUAAUAAUAUUGAGCAAUUUUCGUAUCUUUAUCGAACAUGUAGACACCCUAGAUUGUGAAAUGCUUGUUCAAGCAUUUUGUUCAUACUCUACUGAAUUCUUUGUAGUUUUUACUUAUUAUUAUUAUUUUCUAAGAGAUGGGGUCUGUUCUGUUGCUCAGGCUAGACUUAAGUGAUGUAAUCCCAGCUCACUGCAGCCUUGAACUCCUGGGCUUAAGUUGUCCUUCCACCUCAACCUCCUGACUAGCUGAGACUACAGGUGCAAAACACCAUAUAUGGCUAAUUUAAAAAAAAAAAUGUUUUUAAAUGUUGGGGUCCAGGCUGGUCUUGAACUCCUGGAUUCAAGUGAUCCUCCCUUCUCAGUCUCUCAUGUAAUAGGGAUUACAGGCAUGACAUUGUGCACGGCUCUUUGUCUUUUAUUAAUGGUAGGAGACCUUUUCAAUAUAUUUUGGAUUUGAGCUCUUUCUCUGUUACACAACUCCUUCUACUAUGUGGCUUGUGUUUUUACUUUUUCUAGGAAUGGCUUUUAAUGAAUACAAAGUUCUUAAUAUGAGAUUGUGUGCACAUAUAUAUUUACAUAUACAUAUAUUUCUUUAUGGUAACUGCAACUGGUACACAUGCUUUUAUGUUUAGGAGUAGUUUAUAGCUUUCCACUGACUAUUCUUUAUUUUGUCAUAUCAGUUGAACCUGAGUAAAUGUAAAAAUGGGUAUAUACUAUUGCACAUGUAGUCAAGAGAGCUAAGUUACAUAUGCCUGAUAUAAAAUGUAUUCUUUGUAAUAGUUGGACAAUAAUAGUUGAAUAUGGGGCAAGAUAUCUUAUGAAAAUAAUUCAUUAUUGACUGUUUUAGUUCUUAUUGGAAAUGUUCAAUGCUUUAGUCAUGUUAUUGUACUAAAGAAUGAGAGUUAGUUGAGGUCUAACACGAUAGGGCUUUAUCUGUAGCCACACCAUCUGGAAACAUCUAGUGUAACUCUGUGAUUUUGCUUUACUCAUAGGACUAUUAGAGCUGUGGGGAGGAACUAUAAUACAAGACAGAGUUUCUAAAAGUGUGAAAGACCAAGUAAUACAUUUGCUUUUGCCUUUGGUAUUGGCAUAUCCAACACAUCUAUGCUGUUCUUGGGUAUGAUAGCUUAAAAAUAUUAUUUGAACCCAUUCAUAUUUAGGAAGGGUGUCAGAAAUUGAGAAGCAGGCAUACCCAUCUACUCUAAAAAUGAUCCUAAAGUAAAUUGCUUGAAUAAAUUAGAUUGAAAAGAUUCUUGGUGGGGGACUUUUUAAAGUUGUCCUCAAUAUGUCCAUAUUCAAGUGAAGGUAAGAGAAGCCCAGACAAAAAAAGUUGUGAGAUGACAGGACAACUAUGGAUUAAGCAUCAAUUCUUUUAAAAAGGGCUGACUUAAAAAUAAAUCUUGGCUCAAUUAGAGGAACUUAGCUGACCUUGAUGGGCAAAGAAAGGAAUCACAACAUGUGAAAUUCUUUGGAUAAAGAAUGUAUUGACUUAAAAAAAUGAGAGUAGCUUUUAUAUAGCAUUGGUAAUUCCAUUUAAAGAAAACUCUAUUGUUAUAUAUUCAAACUUCUGGACUAGUGAAAUUAAACAGUAUCCUUAGAUUGCACAGUAGGUUGUUUAAAAUAGAAACUAUUCUGGCAAUUAUUUAUCUGUGAAAAUUAAAAUUUUCUAUCUGUUCUACAAAAGGCAGGCUAACCAAAUGACAGAUAGAAAGAAAAUAACUCAGAAACUAAUUAAAGUGUAUCCUCAGAUUUAAGGUAGAUUACUCUUUAUUAAAAAUUACAGUUUAAAACAUUGGUAUCCCAAAUAUUCAAUUAUAAAAUUUUGGGCCCAUGAAAACAUUCUCAUGGAUAAACUUUGUAGUAAAUACACAGCAUAAACUUGAAAUUUAAAUAAACAUAUACCAAUAAAAACAUCUAUUUUAUAUAAUUCAUGGAUAUAAUUUAUAUUUAACAUUUUAUUUAAGCACUUUAAUACACAGUAUCACUGUAAACAAAAUAUGAAUACCUCUGUACCCAGCAAAAGAGCAAACCAAAUGAAAGAUGUACUAGUUCAUAAGGAACAUCUACCCUUUAUCAAAGUUGAUGCUAAGAACAUAACUAUUCUCUCAAAGACAUAAAUUUUAUCAUUUCCUGUAUUAUCUUUUGAAAUGGGACUUAUCUUCUGUACUGUGAAAUAUGAAGGAAUCCCAAGAUUAGCUUUAGGUUGUCUUUGGAUCCCUGGAAUUUUCUCAAAAAUUUUCUAUCUGCAUCUGAGGGUGGUGGAUGGAUCAAGUCUAUAACUACAUUUUUUUAAAUGUUACAACAAAAUGUAUUAACACAUGUAUAGUGUUAUGGUUAGUUCUCAGUACAAAUUACCUAUUAUUAACGAGAUAUUUAUAUGCUGAAUUGUGUUAAUACAUGCUUUCACACAAAUAUUUUUCCAUUACACAUGAGUUUUCCAACCAAUAGAUGAAUAUAUAUUUGAAUUACAAUUUUAUUUUUUUUAAAUUAUACUUUAAGUUCUAGGGUACAUGUGCACAAAGUGCAGGUUGGUUACAUAUGUAUACAUGUGCCAUGUUGGUAUGCUGCACCCAUUAACUCGUCAUUUACAUUAGGUAUAUCUCCUAAUGCUAUCCCUUCCCCCUCCCCCCACCCCACAACAGGCCCUGUGUGUGAUGUUCCCCUUCCUGUGUCCAAGUGUUCUCAUUGUUCAAUUCCCACCUAUGAGUGAGAACACGCGGUGUUUGGUUUUUUGUCCUUGCAAUAGUUUGUUGAGAAUGAUGGUUUCCAGCUUCAUCCAUGUCCCUACAAAGGACAUGAACUCAUCCUGUUUUAUGGCAGCAUAGUAUUCCAUGGUGUAUAUGUGCCACAUUUUCUUAAUCCAGUCUAUCAUUCAUGGACAUUUGGGUUGGUUCCAAGUCUUUGUGCUAUUGUGAAUAGUGCCACAAUAAAUAUACAUGUGCAUGUGUCUUUGUAGCAGCAUGAUUUAUAAUCCUUUGGGUAUAUACCCAGCAAUGGGAUUGCUGGGUCAAAUGGUAUUUCUAGUUCUAGAUCCUUGAGGAAUCGCCACACUGUAUUCCACAAUGGUUGAACUAGUUUACAGUCCCACCAACAGUGUAAAGGUAUUCCUAUUUCUCCACAUCCUCUCCAGUACCUGUUGUUUCCUGACUUUUUAAUGAUUGCCAUUCUAACUGGUGUGAGAUGGUAUCUCACUGUGGUUUUGAUUUGCAUUUCUCUGAUGGCCAGUGAUGAUGAGCAUUUUUUCAUGUGUCUGCUGGCUGCAUAAAUGUCUUCUUUUGAGAAGCAUCUGUUCAUAUCCUUCACCCACUUGUUGAUGGGGUUAUUUGAUUUUUUCUUGUAAAUUUGCUUAAGUUCUUUGUAGAUUUUGGAUAU